rnacentral:rRNA from 1 species
GAUGAACGCUGGCGGCGUGCCUAAUACAUGCAAGUCGAGCGAACGGACGAGAAGCUUGCUUUUCUGAUGUUAGCGGCGGACGGGUGAGUAACACGUGGAUAACCUACCUAUAAGACUGGGAUAACUUCGGGAAACCGGAGCUAAUACCGGAUAAUAUUUUGAACCGCAUGGUUCAAAAGUGAAAGACGGUCUUGCUGUCACUUAUAGAUGGAUCCGCGCUGCAUUAGCUAGUUGGUAAGGUAACGGCUUACCAAGGCAACGAUGCAUAGCCGACCUGAGAGGGUGAUCAGCCACACUGGAACUGAGACACGGUCCAGACUCCUACGGGAGGCAGCAGUAGGGAAUCUUCCGCAAUGGGCGAAAGCCUGACGGAGCAACGCCGCGUGAGUGAUGAAGGUCUUCGGAUCGUAAAACUCUGUUAUUAGGGAAGAACAUAUGUGUAAGUAACUGUGCACAUCUUGACGGUACCUAAUCAGAAAGCAACGGCUAACUACGUG